GGGUAAAUAGCCAAACCUGAAAUUUUUGUGAAAGGAUCUAGGAUCACAACUUGAAAGAAGUUUAUCAACAACUUUUGGAGUUUUCGGAAACUCUGCAACUUACAGAGUUUUCGUAGAAAUCUCCGAAUAAUGCGAAGAAUGACAUGAAAGCUACAAUGCCCUACGUAGAACUUUUUCAAAAGUAAAUCGACAAAAAUAGGACAUGCAAAGGGAUAUACUAAGCCUAAUUCACUAGAUGCAAUAGGUAGAAAGCUACUCAACAAGUAGAUCGAUCAUAAACCUUAGAAA
rnacentral:lncRNA from 1 species